GAUGAACGCUGGCGGCGUGCCUAAUACAUGCAAGUCGAGCGAACGGACGCGAAGCUUGCUUCUCUGAUGUUAGCGGCGGACGGGUGAGUAACACGUGGAUAACCUCCCUAUCAGACUGGGAUAACUUCGGGAAACCGGAGCUAAUACCGGAUAAUAUUUUGAACCGCAUGGUUCAAAAGUGAAAGACGGUCUUGCUGUCACUUCUAGAUGGUUCCGCGCUGCAUUAGCUAGUUGGUAAGGUAACGGCUUACCAAGGCAACGAUGCAUAGCCGACCUGAGAGGGUGAUCGGCCACACGGGAGCGGAGACACGGUCCAGACUCCUACGGGAGGCAGCAGUAGGGAAUCUUCCGCAAUGGGCGAAAGCCUGACGGAGCAACGCCGCGUGAGUGAUGAAGGUCUUCGGAUCGUAAAACUCUGUUAUUAGGGAAGAACAUAUGUGUAAGUAACUGUGCACAUCUUGACGGUACCUAAUCAGAAAGCCACGGCUAACUACGUG
rnacentral:rRNA from 1 species